rnacentral:rRNA from 1 species
AGUGAACGCUGGCGGUAGGCCUAACACAUGCAAGUCGAACGGCAGCACAGUAAGAGCUUGCUCUUACGGGUGGCGAGUGGCGGACGGGUGAGGAAUACAUCGGAAUCUACUUUUUCGUGGGGGAUAACGUAGGGAAACUUACGCUAAUACCGCAUACGACCUACGGGUGAAAGCAGGGGAUCUUCGGACCUUGCGCGAUUGAAUGGGCCGAUGUCGGAUUAGCUUGUUGGCGGGGUAAAGGCCCACCAAGGCGACGAUCCGUAGCUGGUCUGAGAGGAUGAUCAGCCACACUGGAACUGAGACACGGUCCAGACUCCUACGGGAGGCAGCAGUGGGGAAUAUUGGACAAUGGGCGCAAGCCUGAUCCAGCCAUACCGCGUGGGUGAAGAAGGCCUUCGGGUUGUAAAGCCCUUUUGUUGGGAAAGAAAAGCAGCAGGUUAAUACCCCGCUGUUCUGACGGUACCCAAAGAAUAAGCACCGGCUAACUUCGUG